rnacentral:rRNA from 1 species
UACGUAGGGUGCAAGCGUUAAUCGGAAUUACUGGGCGUAAAGCGUGCGCAGGCGGUUUUGUAAGUCUGUCGUGAAAUCCCCGGGCUCAACCUGGGAAUUGCGAUGGAGACUGCAAGGCUAGAAUCUGGCAGAGGGGGGGUAGAAUUCCACGUGUAGCAGUGAAAUGCGUAGAGAUGUGGAGGAACACCGAUGGCGAAGGCAGCCCCCUGGGUCAAGAUUGACGCUCAUGCACGAAAGGCGUGGGGAGCAAACAAGGAU